GUGGCGGCCGUGGCGGCGGUGUGGGGCAGGGCGCUGCGCGCUUCGCCCCGCCGCCUCCUCCUCCUCCUCCUCCUUGCCCUCACCUGGGGAGCCCCCCCCCUCCGUCACGGAGGGGGUUAAGGGGGUGAAAGAGGGGAGAAGUGGAAUAAAAAUGAAGUGGGGCGAUGUUAGGAGGGGGAUCAACCCCGAGGGCAGGCGCCGCCCCGCUCCCUGACCGGGGCGCGGCGAGAGCAGCAGCCGAGGGUAGACCCCCUAAGGACGCGGGAGAGCCGCCCGUCUCUGCAUACACCGCGACCGGCCGGGGGACGGAGAGAGGAGAGGAAAAAGAGAGAAAAAUAAAGCAAAAAAAGCAAAACCUGAAAAAAAACAACCACCCAAAACCUUCUCAAAGAGAGGGAGAAACACCAGCUCCCAGCCACGCAUCCGUGUCCGCUCGCCUCCGGCCCCGCAAAAGGGCUCAGCGCCCCGCACCUCUCCCCGCUGCCCCCGGCUCUGUGCCGCAGAAAUAUCGGGGUCCCCCUCGCCGCAGGUGCCGAGGGGAUGGGGAAGGUGUCCAAAGCCCCCAAAAGUGCCUUUCCCCCCCUGCUCAGCCCCCACGGACGGGGAUGCUCGGAGGCUCGGUCUCAAAAGAUGAGGCUGCGGCAUCCCCGUCGAGGCUGCCGGGGCGAAAUUCGCUCUCCCCGAAGCGGGGACCAGUUGAGGCCGGGGAAGGCUUUGAGGAUGGGGAGAGGAAGCUUUCCCCGGUAAAAGGAGAGCAACAGCCUUCUGGUUCCCAAACAACCCGGCCACCCGGCCCCGAGGAGGUCACCUUUCGGGGACAGAGGGGGAGAAGGUGGGGGUGCAAAAUGUAGGAUAGUCACAGAUUGUUGCUGAUGUUGAAUUUCCUGAGGAAAAAAAAAAAAAAAGGCUUUCCUGUCUCGAAUCUGACAAAGUAAACAGGAUUAAUUCACAUAUGCAGAAAAAAAGCAUUAAUACCGUCCUGACAAAUGCAGAAAUCAGAAGAGAAAGCGGUUUUAGCAGGACCUACGAUAGGAACAGUUUGAACGUAUGAUCGUAAAAAUGAAAAGCCAUUGAUACACGCUUAAAAGCUGCCGUAUACGCUGAUUGCUCAAGCAUUAAUGAAGAAUGCCCCAGAUUAACUAUUUGCUCUUGCAGGGAUGUAGCCAUAUAACUAUCUAUUAGCACCAUUAGAUGCCUUGCUAUUUAUUUGAAAACACCCCUGCGAGGGGGUAGAGGCAGAAGAGGCGAAGGUAGAAAUGGUCUGCAGCUAAUUCUGCUAAAUAAUAUCUGCAAGCCGAGCGCCUCGCGAAGAAGGGGGAGAUUCCCAACUGUCCUUCUCCGAGCCCAGUCACAAUAGAACCGCUCUCUUUGAAAAGUCAGACCGUAUUGGUUUCCCCAAAUAAAUAAACGCAUCCCUCCUGCCAUUU